rnacentral:rRNA from 1 species
AAUCUUGCACAAUGGGGGAAACCCUGAUGCAGCGACGCCGCGUGAACGAUGAAGCCCUUCGGGGUGUAAAGUUCUUUCGACAGGAACGAUAAUGACGGUACCUGGAGAAGAAGCUGCGGCUAACUACGUGCCAGCAGCCGCGGUAAUACGUAGUCAGCGCGCGUUGUUCGGAGUUACUGGGCGUAAAGAGUGCGUAGGCGGCGAGCCAAGUUUGGUGUGAAAUCUCCCGGCUUAACCGGGAGGGUGCGCCGAAAACUGGUUGGCUGGAGUAUGGGGGAGNAAAGCGGAAUUCCUGGUGUAGCGGUGACAUGCGUAGAUAUCAGGAGGAACACCUGCGGUGUAGACAGCUUUCUGGACCAAAACUGACGCUG